UAAGGAUUGAACAUGCUCUCCUUGUCCUGCUUUUUCAAAACUACCCAACUUUUUGAAUUUUCUGUGGGGAUUACUAAUCCUUUUAGUGGUACUUCUUCUUAGAAAGAGGAGAACAGCAAUGGCCAUGAGACUCUGGACUAGAAAUUUUCUCAAGUGAGACAGGAAGAAACCAGAUGGCGUAUUGAGGAGGGAGAGAGAUAGUGUGUUUUCUUAUUACAGAGCUGCCACGGAUGUAUCUUAACCGAAAUUUGCUUAAGUGAAAAAUGCUUGCAUAUAGCAUGGUCGCUGUUGCCAUCUAUGAUUAAGGAAAUAGGUGCUCUGAAAAAUCUUGAAGAUUUACUCCUACUUGACUAAGGGGUAACACGGACUGAAAGACGACUGCUAUUUGCAUUGGAGAAGGCAGAAAAAGGAGCUUCUGAAUUUUUUUGCUUAAGCUUUGGGAAUAUCUGCAGCAUACAUCAGCCCAGAAGGGUCACACUGAGAAUCUUUGUCUGAUUGCUUUAUAGCAACCUAAUCCCACAGUAUUAAAAGAAAAAGCCUCUGCUCAGUAUAUUCUGCCCAAUUAUAUAGAUGAACAUAAAUAGAUGGAUAUCGGAAUGCCUCUCGUGUGUGUGUCCUACAUAAUUGUCUCGCAAAGACCAAGAAGCCCACAGAACUGUUCUUGUGCUGCUUGUGAGGACAGAGAAGUUGAGCAGCAGACUUUAAUAUGGCUGAACUUGGCUGGAAUAAACAUUAUUUUAUGCUUCAGAAUCUGGGGCAACCAGAAGUCAAGAACACGAGCUCUGUCGUGGAAUGCAAUACAGACUGAUACUCAAAUGGGCCUUAUUUGCUAUUAGAGUCACUGCUCC
rnacentral:lncRNA from 1 species